AAAGUGGUUAGCUAGGUAUAAGGGUAACAUUGAUACUGAAGACGAUGUAACUACUGGACUAGUGGCCUUGAGGCUUGGGAUGGCCGCAUGGAAGGAAAGAAAGUGGAAAGCAGAGAAGUUAAUUGGGGAUUCAGACAAUUUUAUGCUUGUCCAAAAUGCUAAUGGUCUCCCUGAGCCAAAUGAAAACACUAAGUACAUGUUGAGGG
rnacentral:lncRNA from 1 species